GAAGCAACAAAUGCCCUGCUUCCAGGAAAAGCCUCUAAGCAUCAGGUAACAUCAAAUCGUACCCCAAACCGACACAGGUGGUCAGGUAGAGAAUACCAAGGCGCUUGAGAGAACUCGGGUGAAGGAACUAGGCAAAAUGGUGCCGUAACUUCGGGAGAAGGCACGCUGACACGUAGGUGAAGUGAUUUACUCACGGAGCUGAAGUCAGUCGAAGAUACCAGCUGGCUGCAACUGUUUAUUAAAAACACAGCACUGUGCAAACACGAAAGUGGACGUAUACGGUGUGACGCCUGCCCGGUGCCGGAAGGUUAAUUGAUGGGGUCAGCGCAAGCGAAGCUCCUGAUCGAAGCCCCGGUAAACGGCGGCCGUAACUAUAACGGUCCUAAGGUAGCGAAAUUCCUUGUCGGGUAAGUUCCGACCUGCACGAAUGGCGUAAUGAUGGCCAGGCUGUCUCCACCCGAGACUCAGUGAAAUUGAACUCGCUGUGAAGAUGCAGUGUACCCGCGGCAAGACGGAAAGACCCCGUGAACCUUUACUAUAGCUUGACACUGAACAUUGAGCCUUGAUGUGUAGGAUAGGUGGGAGGCUUUGAAGUGUGGACGCCAGUCUGCAUGGAGCCGACCUUGAAAUACCACCCUUUAAUGUUUGAUGUUCUAACGUGGACCCGUAAUCCGGGUUGCGGACAGUGUCUGGUGGGUAGUUUGACUGGGGCGGUCUCCUCCUAAAGAGUAACGGAGGAGCACGAAGGUUGGCUAAUCCUGGUCGGACAUCAGGAGGUUAGUGCAAUGGCAUAAGCCAGCUUGACUGCGAGCGUGACGGCGCGAGCAGGUGCGAAAGCAGGUCAUAGUGAUCCGGUGGUUCUGAAUGGAAGGGCCAUCGCUCAACGGAUAAAAGGUACUCCGGGGAUAACAGGCUGAUACCGCCCAAGAGUUCAUAUCGACGGCGGUGUUUGGCACCUCGAUGUCGGCUCAUCACAUCCUGGGGCUGAAGUAGGUCCCAAGGGUAUGGCUGUUCGCCAUUUAAAGUGGUACGCGAGCUGGGUUUAGAACGUCGUGAGACAGUUCGGUCCCUAUCUGCCGUGGGCGCUGGAGAACUGAGGGGGGCUGCUCCUAGUACGAGAGGACCGGAGUGGACGCAUCACUGGUGUUCGGGUUGUCAUGCCAAUGGCACUGCCCGGUAGCUAAAUGCGGAAGAGAUAAGUGCUGAAAGCAUCUAAGCACGAAACUUGCCCCGAGAUGAGUUCUCCCUGAGACUUAGAGUCUCCUGAAGGAACGUUGAAGACGACGACGUUGAUAGGCCGGGUGUGUAAGCGCAGCGAUGCGUUGAGCUAACCGGUACUAAUGAACCGUGAGGCUUAACCUUACAACGCCGAAG
rnacentral:rRNA from 1 species